CACCAGGCGCGAAAACUUUACAAUGCGGGAAACCGUGAUAAGGGGACACCGAGUGCCAGCAUCAUAUGCUGGCUGUCCAGGUGUGUAAACUACACCUGUUAGCAAGGGCCGGGCAAGACCGGUGCCAGCCGCCGCGGUAACACCGGCGGCCCGAGUGGUGAUCGUGAUUAUUGGGUCUAAAGGGUCCGUAGCCGGUUUGGUCAGUCCUCCGGGAAAUCUGACGGCUCAACCGUUAGGCUUUCGGGGGAUACUGCCAGGCCUGGAACCGGGAGAGGUAAGAGGUACUACAGGGGUAGGAGUGAAAUCUUGUAAUCCCUGUGGGACCACCUGUGGCGAAGGCGUCUUACCAGAACGGGUUCGACGGUGAGGGACGAAAGCUGGGGGCACGAACCGGAUUAGAUACCCGGGUAGUCCCAGCCGUAAACGAUGCUCGCUAGGUGUCAGGCAUGGCGCGACCGUGUCUGGUGCCGCAGGGAAGCCGUGAAGCGAGCCACCUGGGAAGUACGGCCGCAAGGCUGAAACUUAAAGGAAUUGGCGGGGGAGCACAAGGGCGAUUCGCG
rnacentral:rRNA from 1 species